AGCUUUGCCCAGUGGCAGCAUCGUAGCCAACGAGGUUUAUCUGAGGAGCGAUUACUGCUAACUGAAAAAGCUAGGACUAUCCUGAUUUCAUGCGCGUGCAAACGCACGUGUGCACUGGCUGAGACUUUCUAAGU
rnacentral:snRNA from 1 species